rnacentral:rRNA from 1 species
AUGUAUAUUCCUACAGCAUAGCGUUAAUGCACUGGAUACCAUUAAUACUCUGUAGUUAAAUGUGCUCAGGAUAGAGUAGUAUUGGGAUGGGUGACUGCUUAGGAAGUCCUAGUUUUUUACAUG